rnacentral:misc_RNA from 1 species
UCUCCGUUGGUGAACCAGCGGAGGGAUCAUUACCGAGUUUACAACUCCCAAACCCACUGUGGACCUUACCUAUCGUUGCUUCGGCGGGCGGCCGCGCGCUGCCUGCCGGGGGCCCGAGACUCUCUGUUUUAAUGAUGUUUCUCUCUGAGUGGCAUAAGAAAUGAAAUCAAAACUUUCAACAACGGAUCUCUUGGUUCUGGCAUCGAUGAAGAACGCAGC